CUGGCUCUCAGUGCAGUGGAUGCACUCAGGAAAGACAGAUGAUGAACCAGAUAUAUUCAGAAUCACACUGGCCAGAUCUAUCAACUGGAAAUUGCUUUGGUUCAAUUCAGUGCUCUGUUCCUGAAAUUUUUGAGAUGAAGAAUUUGGCAAGACUACCAUCCACUAAACAGUUGUCAGCAAAACCAGGGCUGUGAAAUGCUCCUUUUCAGCUUGAGAUGAAUGUCAGUCCAGCAGAAUACCUGAAUGUGUGCUUCACUGCAAUGUUUCAUAGAGUGAUGUCAGAAGUUGCUUAGAGCUAAGUGCUUUGUCUUGAUGCAGUGAAGCAGAUAAACCUGUGUUCAGCGUUAUGCAGAACAGUAACUAACUAGGGACACAUCUUAAUUCAUUUCCCACAGCAUAGCGUCGGAGAAGAAAGAGAUAUUUAGUGACUGGAAGAUCAGUAGGCCUUGUACAGUGAGGACAAGUGCUCCAAAAAAAAAAAAUAUAUAUAUAGAAAUAAAUUUCUAUACUUUAUUGAUAUGCAGAGGAGAUAGAAGUCUUCUGAACAAAGAGAUAGAAAACAGACAGUUAGAAGGAGUGCAAUCUUUUGAUCUUAUUGUUUAUAUGAAUAAACAAUCAAAACUGGCUAUGAACAGUUCUAUGAACUGUUUGCAGGCAAUUUAUAAUCCAAAAGAUACGUGAAAAAUUUCAGUUGCUUAUCAAUGAUGUAUUUACUUUCAUAAGGCUAGUUCCUUUUCCACCAAUGUUCUCUAUAAGUAUAAUUGUUUAUUAUUCAUUCAUAUUAAUAAUAUUUAUUUUUGAUUUUUGGUCAUAAAAUAUAUUAACGUGAAGUCUUCAGAAAUAUAAUUCAAGUUAUUUGUCACAGAAAUAUAAUUCAAGUUAUUUGUCACAGAAAUAUGUUAAAGUAUGUUAAAUGCAUAGAAGGAAUUAAUAAAAAAAAAGAAGCUACUAACAUGAUUGACAGUAGGUCUUUGGCGGAUUCUUAUUCAGUGCCUGCUGCAUAUACGUAGCAUCUAAACACAUAAUCAUAGAAUCAUAGAAUGAUUUGGGUUGGAAGGGACCUUUAAGAUCAUCUAGUUCCAACCCCUUGCUAUAGGCAGGGAUACCUUCCCCUGUACCAGGUUGCUCAAAGCUUCAUCCAGUUCCAAUGAAAUCUCUGUAACAUAAAGCAGCGGAGAAGUUGGGCCCUUGAAGUCCUUUAAAAUUUGCCUGAAAUUAAUUUGAAAAUCUAAAGCAACUGCUGUUCCAGUUCAAGAACAGAUAUUUGUAUAAUAAAAGAUAAGGAAGUGUAAAUCCUAAAAAUUUAGUGGAAGGCAAAUAUUUUUACACAUUGAGGUUGUAAAAGGAGGAAACACUACGAUAUAAGCUAUUAUGUACAUUUUAACAUUUCUAUAUGUAAAGGUUACAAGGUUUCUUGUGCUUCAUGUGAUAUUAUAGUUGUAGUUAGGCUUUAGGCUUACUCAAAUCACACAGAGCCAAGCCAGAGUUCACAAUCUCCAUAUGGCUCCAACAGUUACACUAUGUUGUGCAAAUAGUGGUGAAGCAAUGUAUCCUUUCUUUCCUCUGCAAAGAAGGAACCUUAACAGAGCAAAAGCAUCUCUUAAUUCCUGACUAUGAUCAGUAUGUGAUCCUCUGUAUCUUUUGAAACAGGAAGAGUACGCUACAGCUAUCAGCCAUGCAUGUAAUGCUAGUACAUUAUUAUUAGAAAACAAGAAAGUUUGACCAUUAGAUGAAUAUUUAUUGUUCUUCUUUUAUAUUUUGCAUGAGUGCAUUCUCUCUGGAGAUGAAGGAGCAGAUCUUCCUGUAUGUACCCCAGAAGAAAUUUCAGUUUUCAGCUGGGCUGGUCUGUUAUGAUACACUUCUGCUAAGCUGAUUUUGAAAUGUAUCUGGCAGAAAAUGAGUGCUGAUGACCAUUUACUCCUUUUCAGUCUUUAAAAUCUACACGACUGCAAAAGCUUUGCUUUUAUUGGAUGAGAUUUUCAUAGGAUGUCCUUACUCAACAAAAGAGAGUAGUCCAAAGAAACAUAAAAGAAAAAAGUUUUGAUGCUACGCCUGUUUAUUCGAAGAUUUGGUAGUUCUUGUGAUUUUAUCAGCAUCUCAUUAGGCUUUUCAGAAGACUCUCAUCAAUUUAUGCAAUGAAGAAUUUUAAAAAAGUAAAGCCUAGAAAACCCAAACCAAGUCUAAUUUAAAAACACAACAACAAAAACAUGCAAAGCAAUGUAUCAAGACUAAUGACUGACAAUCUAAGGGCCUUCUAUGCUGAGUGACAACAUCAAUGGACCAAGGAAGGACAGCUGAUGUUGUCUACUUGGACUUGUACAAGGCUUGUGACAUUCUAAACCAUUCUAUGAUUUUAUUAUAUAGAAUGAAGGUACUGCUUGUGUUUAAUUAUCUACAGCUACACAGUCAAAUAAUGAAUUCUACAGCUUCCUAGUCACAUAAUUACAUAGGAUUGAUCCAGAAGUUUCAUUAUGUGAAAAUUGUUACCCUUUUGUUGGAGUGAUAUCAUUAAAACAAAGUGGAAUCCCCUCCACAGAAUAACAUAAGAUAAUUUACCCCCAUUAUUUUCUUAAUAUCUUUAAGUAUAACCUUACUGUUCAGGAUGGGAACAACGAAUGUCUUUGUAUUGUACCUUUAAUUGUACUAUUUCUAUGACAGAAAUGUAGAGCUGUUCUGUUACUGGUUAAUUAAAAACUAAAUUUCUUUUCCUUACACUCUGAAUUUCCACUUAAAGUUAAUUAUGGAAAAUAACAAAUAGCAAAAUGUUCCUUUUCCAGAGUAAGUUCCCACUGGGACUGAGUAAAAAUGUUAAUAAUUAAUCAAAUAGUCUAACUUCAUAUUAUUUUUUGCUACCUCACACAUAUGAAAAACCCCACUGAUGUUGUUUUACUUUUUUUUUUUUUUUUUGGUUUCAUAAAUAUUUAUGUAUAGUUGCAUUUUCCUACUAAAUGGCAUUUUUUUCUGCCCAAAGGGAGGAAAAACAAUUUGUGUGUUAAUUUUAUCUCACUGGUUUUGUU
ensembl:lncRNA